rnacentral:rRNA from 1 species
AGAGUUUGAUCCUGGCUCAGAUUGAACGCUGGCGGUAUGCUUAACACAUGCAAGUCGAACGGAAACGAUACUAGCUUGCUAGUAGGCGUCGAGUGGCGGACGGGGGAGUAACGCGUAGGAAUCUGCCCAGUAGUGGGGGAUAAGCUUUAGAAAUUCGGAUUAAUACCGCAUAAUCUAUUCGUAGUAAAGUGGGGGACUUUCGAGCCUCACGCUAUCAGAUGAGCCUGCGUAAGAUUAGCUAGUUGGUAGGGUAAAAGCCUACCAAGGCUACGAUCCAUAGCUGGUCUGAGAGGAUGAUCAGCCACACUGGGACUGAGACACGGCCCAGACUCCUACGGGAGGCAGCAGUGGGGAAUAUUGGACAAUGGGCGCAAGCCUGAUCCAGCAAUACCGCGUGUGUGAAAAAGGCCUCCGGGUUGUAAAGCACUUUCAAUUGUGAAGAGGGGAUAGUUAAUUAAUACUUGUUAUCCUGACGUUAACUUUAGAAGAAGCACCGGCUCAAGCAGUGCCAGCAGCCGCGGUAAUACUGAAGGUGCAAGCGUUAAUCGGAAUUACUGGGCGUAAAGCGCGCGUAGGCGGUUUGGUCAGUCAGAUGUGAAAGCCCCGGGCUCAACCUGGGAACUGCAUUUGAAACUGCCAAACUAGAGUAUGUUAGAGGGAAGUGGAAUUUCUGGUGUAGCGGUGAAAUGCGUAGAUAUCAGAAGGAACACCAAUGGCGAAGGCAACUUCCUGGGACAAUACUGACGCUGAGGUGCGAAAGCGUGGGGAGCAAACGGGAUUAGAUACCCCGGUAGUCCACGCCGUAAACGAUGAGAACUAGUUGUCGGGAGGGUUUACCUUUCGGUGACGCAGCUAACGCAUUAAGUUCUCCGCCUGGGGAGUACGCCGGCAACGGUAAAACUCAAAGGAAUUGACGGGGGCCCGCACAAGCGGUGGAGCAUGUGGUUUAAUUCGACGCAACGCGAAGAACCUUACCAGGCCUUAAAUGUAGAGUGACAGAUUGGGAAACCAGUCUUUCUUCGGACACUUUACAAGGUGCUGCAUGGUUGUCGUCAGCUCGUGCCGUGAGGUGUCGGGUUAAGUCCCAUAACGAGCGCAACCCCUAUUUUUAGUUGCCAGCGAGUAAUGUCGGGAACUCUAGAAAGACUGCCUGUGUAAACAGUGAGGAAGGUGGGGAUGACGUCAAAUCAUCACGGCCCUUAUGUCUUGGGCUACACACGUGCUACAAUGGUUACUACAGUGGGCUGCCAUCUGGCAACAGAGAGCAAAUCCAUAAAGGUAAUCCCAGUUCGGAUCGGAGUCUGCAACUCGACUCUGUGAAGUUGGAAUCGCUAGUAAUCGUAUAUCAGCAAUGAUACGGUGAAUACGUUCCCGGGCCUUGUACACACCGCCCGUCAAGCCAUGGAAGUUUGUGGUGCCUGAAGUCAGUAACCGUAAGGAUCUGCCUAGGGUAAAACAGAUAACUAGGGCUAAGUCGUAACAAGGUAACC